rnacentral:misc_RNA from 1 species
GAGCCCUGUCAAUAAAAGAAGCCAGGACCUCAAGUUGUUCUUCAGUGAAGGAAUCUUUCUGAACAUUCCAUGUGUCCGCAUGAGUGCGUCGAAACUCUGCCACAGCUUUUGUCACGGUAGAUUUUACAGGUGAUGAUUCAGAAACAAAUUGAGCCAAUAGUGUAACCUGUUCUGGUAACCAACUGGGAAUAUCAUAAGGAACUGAUAGCACGCAAGCAGCCAAAGCAAGUAUCUUUCCAUGUAGGGAUGCUACAGAGAAUCCAGAACGCAUGCUUCUUUGUUUCCUCUUCUUCUGAAUGAUACUUGCUUCUGUAUAAGCUCUAUGACGGAAAUCCUGAGCUAAAUCUUCAUCUCCGCCCUUCAUUAGGCCAGCCAAGACUGCUGCCGCAUGCUCCCUUACCUCAACUUGAUUAUCUGCGAGUAGCUUCUCGACAGUUUGCCAAAUUUGUUGUUUGUCCACCUUAGAGAGGACGAAAGUGUGCCUAUACAUGAAACUCCGUAAAUAGGUCAGAGUCGUAGAUCUUGUACGCCAAUUGGUAUCAUUGGCUAUAGAAAGAAUGGUGAGCACAACUUUCCUUAAAUGGGACUCUGAAUAAACUCUCCACUUUA